CCAUCUAAGUUUGUUCUUGGUAUAAGCUUUCGUGUGCAUGCUGGUAUCUGAAGAAGUGUGCAUGCACAUGAAAGUUUAUACCAAGAACAAACUUAGCUGG